AGCCUGGGCUACAUAGUGACCCUGUCUCAAACAAACUAAUGUGUCUUGACCACCAUUUGAAAAAAUAAAAUCGGGGAAUGUGGGGUGCAUUGUGGGUGGUAAGGAUAAGAUUCCCUCGUGAGGUACACAAGGCAAUCAAAACACACCGGGAAGAGUUAGGGUUGUGGUUUAAAAUGUACCACAGUAGAAGGCACACUGCCACGAAUCCACUUCAAAAUCCUACCGCUCUCCCAGCACUAGGGAGGCUGAGACAGGAGGAUUGCUGCGAGUUCCACACCGGUCUGGAUUACAAAAACCCUGUCAUUAAAAAAAAAACAAAAUUUUUUUUCAAGCAGUGGCAAAGUUUAUUUUAAAAAGUAAAAGUGAAGAGAGAGAGAGAAAUGUGCAGAGCAAGCCUGGGCCAAGUAAGAGAGGAAAAAGCGGGGUAAAGGAGCGCCCAAGAAAGCAGGGUGGGUGGUGGCAGGGAAGCCAUGGCAAACAAUAUGAAACGUUUUCAGAAAUCUCACUUUGAGUGGCCGACCCCACGGUCUCGAUGCUGUGUGAAGCCGCUCUGGGGCCCGCUCUCCGAGCUUGAGACCCUCAGGAAAGGGCGCUCCAGAGCUGCGGCAGGAAGCGGCAGAGCCGUGGGCGAGCAUGCUGAGGGAUUUGGGAAGCUGCAUCUUGGUAGUGAGUUCUAAAGAUGUAAACACUCCCGUGUUUUGUGCUCGCAGCUCGUAGUUGUCUGCUGAUGCGUACGUCUGAGAAUCUCUGGACUGGACGCCAGAUGUGUUUCUGCAUCGCUGCCUAAGUGAGCACAGCACAGAUGUGCUUUUGGCCCUGCGUGUCCGUUCACCUCUCUGCUUCCUGAGCUGGAUGACAAACCGCAGCUCACGGAGCUGGGCCAGGCCGAUUCAGACACCUGUCCACGGCCGUCGGGUGGGGUGGGACUCGUGCCUGGGCCUCCGUCCCCCGGGGGCUUCUCCCUGGGCACUGGCCUGCACAACAGCAGUAGCCGUGGCCGGGGGUGAGUGAGUGAGUACUGUGCACCAAGCACGGCGUGUUGCUGGCAGGGAGGGGUACCGUGGCUGGUGUCUUGCUCCUUUUGGGUGGAUCUUCAGAGCCAGGUGACGGCUGAGGCCAGUGCUUCAUGUACCACCCUCUGCCUUGAGCCCGGAAGUUUCAAUUUAAUUCUUAAAAACUGUUGCAGCAACCUGACAGGGUAAUUUUAUGUCUGUGGAAUGUAGUAAUAGAAACAUUGGCUUAAAUGUUUCUCUUAAAAGUGUCCCGAAAUUUUUAUUGUAUUUUUGUAAAAAUACCAGCCCGAGAUGGAUUAAAAACAAGAACACACUGAUCCUCCACCACAGGUCAUGUGAGACGCCUUGGCGGAGGCCAACAAAGCCAACGCCCGUGUCCCUUGAGGCCCUUGAAUGCUUUUCCAGUGCUAGGGGUCACAGCUGUCCCUGGAAGGGGCAGGUUGCUGGAUGUGGCCCCCAGCGGCAGGGAAGGGGUUACUGCGUCCUCUGCGGUACUUGGAGAGCCUCCCAGCCUGGCCAUAGCUCCCCUGGUCUUGGGGCAGGCUGGGGGACAAGCUGCUGGCAGCGGGUGCUCCGAGCUGGAAUUCCCAGGGCCACGUGCCAGCGGAGCGUCUCAGGAGUCGAGUGUUUCCUCACGUCCUGCUUUGUCCUCCCAACAAGCGGCUUGUCCGGCUCCUCGCAACACGUGACUGUGGAAUGCACCCUCUGGAGAAAUACGCCUGUGGUUUUCACCCUGAGCACAGUGGAAAUGUUUGAGAAUUGCACAGAUGAUGCUAGUAAUAAAAGCUGACCGUGUGUGC